rnacentral:rRNA from 2 species
AACUUUCAACAACGGAUCUCUUGGUUCUGGCAUCGACGAAGAACGCAGCAAAAUGCGAUAAGUAAUGUGAAUUGCAGAAUUCAGUGAAUCAUCGAAUCUUUGAACGCACAUUGCGCCCGCCAGUAUUCUGGCGGGCAUGCCUGUUCGAGCGUCAUUU